AGUGUUAUCUAGGCCCUCUGGCCUCAACAAAAUCCCAGCUUUAUUCUUUCCUCAAAUACUAUUUUAUUAAAAAAUCCUCUCUGUGUGAGAGGACUUUUAAAAACGCGUAUUUUAAAAAAUAUAUUAGAACAUGGGAACUUUCAAAUGCUGGCAAGCUGCACCCUUGUGUGAAUGUGAAUAGGACACGAUGUGCCUGCUGUCUCUUGCCUCAGUGUUGCUGAGACUUUCCUUUCCUUUCCUCAGCUGGGAUUGAGCCCUGGAUCCACAGGUUUGGCUUGGAGCAGGCUUCAGCUGCCAUGCAGCCUCCGAGUCCUGGUGCUGUUUCCUGUGAUAGACGCCCAGUGCAUGCACCAGUGAGUCCUGCUGAGGGCUGGGCUGCUGUGUGAGGCUCCUCUGGGGGCUGAUGCUCAGAGGCUGAUAUCAUCGUGCUGGAACCAGGCUUUGUGGCGACAUGCCUCUCCCUCCCUCCGGCAUCCAGCUCGCCCUGGCCACAUGUGCAGCCCAGGCCACGACCUCGGCCUUGGCUGGGCUCUGACGCCCAUUUAACAGUCAGAGGCUGGAAAGGGAGUUGCUGCUGUGCUAUUUUUAACCAGCUGGACAGUUAAAUAAUUCAGAGGCAGACACACACAGAGUGGUCUGGGCUGUGUGUGGAUCUGAGAGGGAACAAGAGCAUUGUAUCGACCCUGCUGGGCUUGCUUAACCUCAUCAAGCAUGGGUUCUCAGGCUCUUUAAUACAAACAUGAAACAAAAACUAAACUUUCAGAAGUAAAAUCCCUGCCUUACUGGUGUCAAUGGGACUCCUGGCUCUGACUGCAAUGGAGCCUGGAUCACACUUAGCUGCAAGGCAAGAGCUGUUCAGUAUUUCCUUGCUUUCUAAUGCUGCAUAAUUUUUUUUUCCAUGACAAUAAAACCCACUUAUGGUGAGUAGA